CUUUGGACUUGGACUUUCGGGUUAAUGCUGAAAUGAGCUAAGACUUUGGAGGACUAUUGGAAAGGCAUGAUUGAUUUUGAAAUGUGAGGGCAUGAGAUUUGGGAGUGUCCAGGUUUGGCUGUGUCCCCACUCAAAUCUCAUCUUGAAUUUUGGUUCCCAUAAAUCUCAUGUGUUGUGGGAGGGACACACGGAAUUGAAUCACACACAUGAUUCAAUUACCUAUGAUAGGAGGUGAUUGAAUCAUGCAGGCAGUUAUCCCCAUGCUGUUCUCGUGAUAGUGAAUUCUCAUGAGAUCUGAUGGUUUUAUAAGGGGCUUUUCCACCUUGGCUUGGCACUUUUUCCGUCCCCCACAUGAAGAAGGACGUGUUUGCUUCCCCUUCCACCAUGAUUUAAGCUUCCUGAGGCCUCCCCAGCCCUACAGAACUGUGAGUCAAUUAAACUAAUUUCCUUUACUAAUUAUCCAGUCUUGGAUAUGUCCUUAUGAGAGACAGGACUAGCUGGAUUUCCUAGGCCGACUAAGAAUCCCUAAGCCUAGCUGGGAAGGUGACUGCAUCCACCUUUAAACACGGGGCUUGCAACUUAGCUCACAUUCGACCAAUCAGGUAAUUAAAAAAAGCUCACUAAAGUGCUAAUUAGGCAAAAACAGGAGGUAAAGAAAUAGCUAAUCAUCUAUCGCCUGAGAGCACAGCGGGAGGCAGAAUGAUCGGGACAUAAACCCAGGCAUUCGAGCCAGCAAGUUACCCUCUUUGGGUCCCCUCCCUUUGUAUGGGAGCUCUGUUUUCACUCUAUUAAAUCUUGCAACUGCACUCUCUUUUGGUCCGUGUUUGUUACGGCUCGAGCUGAGCUUUCACUCGCCGCCCACCACUGCUGUUUGCUGCCGUCGGAGACCCGCCGUUGACUUCCAUCCCUCCAGAUCCAGCAGGGUGUCCGCUGUGCUCCUGAUCCAGUGAGGCACCCAUUGCCGCUCCGGAUCAGGCUAAAGGCUUGCCAUUGUUCCUGCACAGCUAAGUGCCCGGGUUCAUCCUAAUCGAGCUGAACACUAGUCACUGGGUUCCACUGUUCUCUUCCAUGACCCACGGCUUCUAAUAGAGCUAUAACACUCACCGCAUGAUCCAAGAUUCCAUUCCUUGGAAUCCAUGAGGCUAAGAACCCCAGGUCAGAGAACACAAGGCUUGCCACCGUCUUGGAAGCAGCCUGCCACCAUGUUGGGAGCUCUGGAAGCAAGGACCCCCCAGUAACAUUUUGGCGACCACGAAGGGACCUCCAAAAUGGAAAGAUGAAAGAAUGAAUGAGUGCAUCAUUACAAAAGUGACAAAUUGUAAUUUUAAGAAGUCCUUCACCAUAGAGAGUCUGAGAAGCACUGCUUUAGAGCACCUGUUACAGGGACCCUGGACCUCAAGAGGACUUGGGAUCGACCUCCCCACCAAACUGACUGAGGACUGUGUAUUCUGCUGAUCUUCUGCAUAGCAACAGACCUGGUUUACCUUCAGAGACUCAUCAAACUAUCUGAGAGAAUGCAAUUCCUUUAAGAUCUCUUUUCUCUGUGUGUGUGUUUUUAAAUAUACUCUUGCAUUUUAGUAGUUAAUUGAGAUGGGAUUCAUGCAUGAGAGAUUUACUGAAUUUGUAUCUGAUUAGCCAGGGCCACUUUAUACUCUGUAAUUGUAGAUGUGGUUUUUAAACUGACAAUUGUAAGUUUGCAUGUAUUCUUUUUCUCCUAACUCUGUUUAGACUUUGUAUUCAGGAUAGAAAUUACCUUUUCUAAGAAGUUUUACCAAGCUGAGUGUAAAUCUAUAAUACCUCAGCAGUAAAACAAUCCCAGAGGGAUAAUUUUGUGCAACCAUUUCAAUCUUGAUACCAAUUAAAAUGGUAUGAUCUAUCUCACCGCCAUCACACAAAACAGGUUUCUAUGCCAUCUCCUCACCUCUUGCUUAGAGAAAACCAUCAGAUUGGUUCUAUUACACUCAGAUUUAAGAUCAAACAUCUUUUUUUCAGAGCUUUAUGGAUUCUAAUAACAAUAGAAAGUACUGAAAUAAGCCUAUUUUCGUGGCUGCCUUUCAAUCAGUAUGUAACACACUUUCCAUUUUGUCUUCACCAGAAAUAAAUUGUACUUUAAAUCUCUGCUCUCCUUAAAUAUUUCAAAUAUGUGGGAUAUGAUAUCAUCUCUAAAAAGGGAACUUCUUUAGAUGGCAUUGUUAGGAAGCCUUAGCAAAAGCAUUUUGCAAGCUAGUAACAUAAUUCUAGAACAGGUUUUAUUGC
rnacentral:lncRNA from 1 species